rnacentral:rRNA from 1 species
UACAGAGGUCCACAGUGUUGUGAUUCAUUGGGCGUAAAGGGUGCGUAGGCGGCGCGGUAAGUCGGUGUGAAAUCUCCAGGCUCAACCUGGAGGGGUCAUUCGAUACUGCCCGUGACUAGAGUUCGGUAGAGGAGUGUGGAAUUCCUGGUGGAGCGGUGAAAUGCGCAGAGAUAGGAGGAACACCCCUAGCGAAAGGGCGGGCACUCUGGGGGCCCGAUACUGCACUGAGGGAGCGAAAAGCUG